rnacentral:ncRNA from 1 species
CUUAAUUUGACUCAACACGGGGAAACUUACCAGGUCCAGACAUAGUAAGGAUUGACAGACUGAGAGCUCUUUCGAUUUUUUUUUUUUUUUUGAGGUGAAUGUGAAUCUUUAUUCCAAGUAAACAAAAUAAUACAUGAUACACUAGGGCAUACCCUAGGAUG